AGCCUUUGUGUUGCCCAUUCCCUUUUGGAAACUAGUGAAUGUGGUAAGAAAAAAGGCAUAAAUUAAAUGCUUUUCAGACUUUCCCUGCCCUUAAAUUUGGUAUCUUUUGUGUAGGAGCUGCAUAAGUAACAGUU